rnacentral:rRNA from 1 species
AUUGAACGCUGGCGGCAUGCUUUACACAUGCAAGUCGAACGGUAACAGGGUGCUUGCACCGCUGACGAGUGGCGAACGGGUGAGUAAUGCGUCGGAACGCACCGAGUAAUGGGGGAUAACGCAGCGAAAGCUGUGCUAAUACCGCAUACGCUCUGAGGAGGAAAGCGGGGGACCUUCGGGCCUCGCGUUAUUCGAGCGGCCGACGUCUGAUUAGCUAGUAGGUGAGGUAAGAGCUCACCUAGGCGACGAUCAGUAGCGGGUCUGAGAGGAUGGUCCGCCACACUGGGACUGAGACACGGCCCAGACUCCUACGGGAGGCAGCAGUGGGGAAUUUUGGACAAUGGGCGCAAGCCUGAUCAAGCCAUGCCGCGUGUCUGAAGAAGGCCUUCGGGUUGUAAAGGACUUUUGUCAGGGAGGAAAUCCUUAGCGCUAAUACCGUUGAGGGAUGACAGUACCUGAAGAAUAAGCACCGGCUAACUACGUGCCAGCCGCCGCCGUAA